UACGAAGGGGGCUAGCGUUGUUCGGAUUUACUGGGCGUAAAGGGCGCGUAGGCGGCAAUUCAAGUCAUCUGUGAAAUCUCCGGGCUUAACUCGGAACGGUCAGAUGAUACUGUUUUGCUAGAGUGCAGAAGGGGCAAUCGGAAUUCUUGGUGUAGCGGUGAAAUGCGUAGAUAUCAAGUGGAACACCAGUGGCGAAGGCGAGUCCCUGGACAACUCCUGACACUGAGGCACGAAAGCUAGGGGAGCAAACAGG
rnacentral:rRNA from 1 species